UACGGGGGUGGCAAGCGUUGUUCGGAAUUACUGGGCGUAAAGGGCUCGUAGGCGGCCAACUAAGUCCGACGUGAAAUCCCCAGGCUUAACCUGGGAACUGCGUCGGAUACUGGAUGGCUUGAAUUCGGGAGAGGGAUGCAGAAUUCCAGGUGUAGCGGUGAAAUGCGUAGAUAUCUGGAGGAAUACCGGUGGCGAAGGCGGCAUCCUGGACCGGCAUUGACGCUGAGGAGCGAAAGCCAGGGGAGCAAACGGG
rnacentral:rRNA from 1 species